UAUAUAAAGAUGGACAAAACGUCUCCAUUUCAUCCCACUGUACAAAAGUGAAGCCAAAAUAUCCCAGAUACAAGCUCUGCCAUCUUGUAAUUAUGGAGCCAUAGUCUGCGGAUACACCAGCUCAACCAUUUG